UUCUGCUGCUAGCUAGAGAGAAAAAUUAAGCAGCAAGUGAUGUAGCAGGAAAGGGACUAGAGAAGGCUAAUGCUACUUUGGCUGUUUUGUCUGUGGGGAAGAAAUGGAGUAUCAGCCAGCUCUACCUUCGCUUCAGCUUGGCAGUCUGCUGUGAGCAUAUACAGAGUGGUUGACUGCACAGACUGAGGCACUUAAAAAUCCAUCUAUUAUGGCCUUCAUCAUGCCACAAAGUGGCUAUUUUAGAAACCACAAGGGUAUGUACUUGAAAAUAUUUAGUGGUGAUUCUAUCUACAAAGCACAUCACUGCCGAAGUGUUGAUAGCACUAAUCAAUGGGAUUAAAAAAAUGCAUUCUUAUUUAUUAUACAUCCCAAUAAACAAAAGGGACCUUAAAGAAGAUUCUUGGCUGACACAAAUUCCUGUAGUUGCUCUGACAUUACUGUAUGACCUCACAGGGCUCAGCCUGUAUUUUUUACAAGCUGGGGUUGAUGAAACUAGCCCAAGUGGUGAAAACAUUGUGAAAACAAGAGGAAUGCACAAAGCAGGAGAAGACAGAAAUAAAUAUAAAUUUGGUGGUGAAUGUACUUCAAAUAAUUCUUAGAGGAAAAUGAGGUUGUUGGUUUUUUUUUUUUUUAUAUAUAGAGAUGAGCCCAAAUGGAUAUUGGCAGUAAACAAGUUUUGCAACUGACCACAGCAAAGAGAGGAUUAUAUUCUGCCCAAGAAGCAGUCAGAAAAUAUAGAGGGUGUUUGCUAUUGAGAAGAAAAGAAAGGAAGAUUUAAUGUAUUGUUUGAAUUGGUAAUGAAACAUGGUUGUGUUUCAUCAGAAGAAAAAUCAGACAAAUGAAUUAUCUGGAUACUGAAAUGCUGCCAUGGUGACUCACUCCAAAUUCGGCCGCACUGUGUGUCCUGUGACAUAAUGUGCUUUCUCUUCUGAUGGAAUCAGUAGAAAUUCUGGAACCCACAAACAUCCUGAAUGACCCAGUGUUCUUGUUAUACAUCAGAGUGCCCUGACAAAUGAGGCAGUCCCCCAAAAAUGCGGGGAGCGCUUUGCCAACUGACGUGUCACCAGCUAUGGGGACAGUCUGAAAGGCACGAUUCAUUUCACACGGAGGAGCACACAUUGUAGAGCACUGAGCAUCUGUGCUCUGCUUCUCCCUGGCCUUGUGCAUUUAAAGAGUGACCUAGCUGGAAAACUGAAGAGGUACCAGGCAGGGCAGCCUCAUCUUCACAGCAAAAUAAUGGUUAUCUGCCAGAAGAGCAGCUAAGAGUUUCAAUCCAUUCAGAAGAGGAAGGAGUGGCAGCAAAAUUUAACAAAAAUGUUAAUAAUAAAAGAAUCCUCCAUUUUUAACACGGUUAGACACAUAACAAAGCAAGCAAGCAAACUUACAAACCUCACAACAAAGCCAAAAGAAAGAUGGGAAAUAACAUCUAAACAAAAUUUCCAUAGGACAAUUGGCAUUCACCUAUAUGCUGCUUUCUGCAAUUCUGUCAGCUCCAAUAUCUUUGCUUGAACACAAGCACGUGUGCGUAUGCACACAGAUCUGAAACUGCUUCAAGCAGAUCAACUUGAGUUGAUGUGAGUUGGGUUUUGCUGAUCAACCUCAACUUCUUGCUAUAUUGCCUAUCUGCCCCAAAAUCUCUUGCUGUAUUGCCUAACUGCCCAAACCAUAAAGUGAUCCUACAGCCAAGAGAGUUUACUGUUCCUCCUGUAGGUGUGAGGUGGGUGUUUCAUGUGGGAAGUGUCAGCAUUUAGCAAAGACAAGAAAAAUCCAUCAGCACCGAGGCAGUGAAGAGACGGAAUCCCAGUGGCUUUGUGAAUGAACAAAAUGCAUGCUAAGUAGGCUACAUGAGCAGAGGAACAAGUGGGCAAGAGUGGAUGGUAGAAUAUCUAAAACCUGAACCCAUUCUUUGUACAAUGUCCCUCAAACAAUGAACUGAGUAUGAACAGACCGAAUAUGCAAAAAUACAAAAAAUGCAGCUCAUGGAGGCAGUCUUCAAAAAGAAUUAGACAAAUAACCUAAGAAAGACAAAUAGGUACCAAGAUUUCUCAGCACCAGUCACCGUCUUUGUACUCUACUGAUGUGCCUGGGGGAAUUUUUGACUAGGAAACCAAACGUUCAAGAGUUAACACUGGGCAUGUUACAAAAUACUCAAAAUCAAUAGGCAGCUCCUGCAUUCCUCACUGAAGCCCUUUAAACUCAAAUAAUUCCAUUGUUACAUAGAAGUUUGUAAAGAAGAUGGGAUUUAUUUUCAUAUUCUUAACUGGGAAUAAGUUGGUACAAGAAAUAAAGAAAAGCCAUUGUUUGUGUUC